rnacentral:rRNA from 1 species
CGAAGGGGGCUAGCGUUGCUCGGAAUUACUGGGCGUAAAGGGCGCGUAGGCGGAUGUUUAAGUCAGCGGUGAAAGCCCAGGGCUCAACCUUGGAACUGCCAUUGAUACUGGACAUCUUGAGUUCGGGAGAGGUGAGUGGAACGCCGAGUGUAGAGGUGAAAUUCGUAGAUAUUCGGCAGAACACCAGUGGCGAAGGCGACUCACUGGCCCGAUACUGACGCUGAGGCGCGAAAGCGUGGGGAGCAAACAGGAUUAGAUACCCCCGGUAGUCCACGCCGUAAACGAUGAGUGCUAGUUGUCGGCAUGCAUGCAUGUCGGUGACGCAGCUAACGCAUUAAGCACUCCGCCUGGGGAGUACGGUCGCAAGAUUA